rnacentral:rRNA from 1 species
UGGGGGAUAUUGCACAAUGGGCGAAAGCCUGAUGCAGCGACGCCGCGUGGGGGAUGAAGGCCUUCGGGUUGUAAACUUCUUUUGCUCUGAACAAGGCGCACCAUGGGGUGUGUUGAGUGUAGGGGUUGAUUAGCGCCGGCUAACUACGUGCCAGCAGCCGCGGUAAUACGUAGGGCGCGAGCGUUGGCCGGAAUGAUUGGGCGUAAAGGGCUUGUAGGUGGCUGGUUGCGUCUGUCGUGAAAGCUCAUGGCUUAACUGUGGGUUUGCGGUGGGUACGGGCUGGCUUGAGUGCAGUAGGGGAGGCUGGAAUUCCUGGUGUAGCGGUGGAAUGCGCAGAUAUCAGGAGGAAUACCGGUGGCGAAGGCGGGUCUCUGGGCUGUUACUGACACUGAGGAGCGAAAGCAUGGGGAGCGAACAGG